rnacentral:rRNA from 1 species
UACGGAGGAUCCAAGCGUUAUCCGGAAUCAUUGGGUUUAAAGGGUCCGUAGGCGGCCCAGUAAGUCAGUGGUGAAAUCUCCCCGCUCAACGGGGGAAACGGCCAUUGAUACUGCUGGGCUUGAAUUAUUGGGAAGUAACUAGAAUAUGUAGUGUAGCGGUGAAAUGCUUAGAGAUUACAUGGAAUACCGAUUGCGAAGGCAGGUUACUACCAAUACAUUGACGCUGAUGGACGAAAGCGUGGGUAGCGAACAGG